GAUGAACGCUGGCGGCGUGCCUAAUACAUGCAAGUCGAGCGAACAGACGAGGAGCUUGCUCCUCUGACGUUAGCGGCGGACGGGUGAGUAACACGUGGAUAACCUACCUAUAAGACUGGGAUAACUUCGGGAAACCGGAGCUAAUACCGGAUAAUAUAUUGAACCGCAUGGUUCAAUAGUGAAAGACGGCUUUGCUGUCACUUAUAGAUGGAUCCGCGCCGCAUUAGCUAGUUGGUAAGGUAACGGCUUACCAAGGCAACGAUCCGUAGCCGACCUGAGAGGGUGAUCGGCCACACUGGAACUGAGACACGGUCCAGACUCCUACGGGAGGCAGCAGUAGGGAAUCUUCCGCAAUGGGCGAAAGCCUGACGGAGCAACGCCGCGUGAGUGAUGAAGGUCUUCGGAUCGUAAAACUCUGUUAUUAGGGAAGAACAAAUGUGUAAGUAACUAUGCACGUCUUGACGGUACCUAAUCAGAAAGCCACGGCUAACUACGUG
rnacentral:rRNA from 1 species